CGUGCUAGGAUGAACGCUGGCGGCGUGCUUAACACAUGCAAGUCGAACGAAGCAAGUUAUGAACAACUGGAGAGCUUGCUCGAAGGAAGGGAUUAAUGACUGAGUGGCGGACGGGUGAGUAACGCGUGGGUAACCUGCCUCAUACAGGGGGAUAACAGUUAGAAAUGACUGCUAAUACCGCAUAAGCGCACAGUACCGCAUGGUACGGUGUGAAAAACUCCGGUGGUAUGAGAUGGACCCGCGUCUGAUUAGCUAGUUGGCGAGGUAAUGGCUCACCAAGGCAACGAUCAGUAGCCGGCUUGAGAGAGUGAACGGCCACAUUGGGACUGAGACACGGCCCAAACUCCUACGGGAGGCAGCAGUGGGGAAUAUUGCACAAUGGGGGAAACCCUGAUGCAAGCGACGCCGCGUGAGUGAAGAAGUAUUUCGGUAUGUAAAGCUCUAUCAGCAGGGAAGAUAAUGACGGUACCUGACUAAGAAGCCCCGGCUAACUACGUGCCAGCCGCCGC
rnacentral:rRNA from 1 species